CAGCGCCGAUGAUAGUCGGGGGCUCUCCCCCUGUGAAAGUAGGACGUCGCUGGGC
rnacentral:rRNA from 1 species